rnacentral:rRNA from 1 species
UACAGAGGCCUCGAGCGUUAGGCGGAAUCACUGGGCUUAAAGCGUGUGUAGGUGGAUGCCUAAGUACCUUGUGAAAUCCCACGGCUUAACCAUGGAAUUGCUUGGUAUACUGGGUGUCUUGAGCCACUCAGGGGCUACUGGAACAAACGGUGGAGCGGUGAAAUGCGUAGAUAUCGUUUGGAACGCCAAUGGUGAAAACAGGUAGCUGGGGGUGUGCUGACACUGAGACACGAAAGCCAGGGGAGCAAACGGG